rnacentral:tRNA from 2 species
UCAGUAUUAGCUCAGUAGGAUAGAGCGAUUGCCUCCUAAGCAAUAGGUAACUGGUUCGAGUCCAGUAUACUGAG